AUGAGGUUGAGUCACACUUAUUAUGUACAAUACACUUUGAACUCAGUUUGCAGCAGUUGAAGUAAGCAGAAGACAAGUGGACAAAUGAGAGAGAAGAUGGAAAGUGGAACCUUUUCAAAGCAACUGAAAAAUCAGAAUAACAGGAGACUAAUGGAUUCUGCCCAUGCCCAAGUGGAAUAUGCUUUUUAAAACUUUUCCAUGGUGUCAAAGACAGGAAGCAGAGGAAAUUAUAAAAAAAGGUGCCAGGCACAUUUUGUUCAUGGCCCAAGAAUUGAACAGAGGUUUUUGGCUAUAAAAAGGCAGUUCUCCAGUUCCAUUUAGCAGCUGUGACCUAUUUCUGCACUCUUCCCUUUAAUUUGACACUCCAGGAGCUCCUUCGGUCCCAGAGUCCCAAGAUCAUCAAAGAGCUUCACCCUUUGGGGCUAUUGACCCCUUUUCUCACCUGCUUCUCUUCAAAAUCCUUUUCUUCCUUGGUGAGAAAAAACUUCAACAUGAAGAUAAAAAUGGCUUUUCAUUUUUUAAAAAGGAUUUUAAAAAAAUCCCUUUGUGCAGCCAGAGCAGUGUUUAGUUUUAUUCUAUUGUGGGAGAGUUUUCUUAAAAAGUCUUGCAAUCUCA
rnacentral:lncRNA from 11 species